ACGGCCAUAUCAUGUUGAAACACCGGUUCUCGUCCGAUCACUGAAAUUAAGUAACGUUGAAGUACCUAGAUGGGUAACCACGUGCGAAUACCUGAUGCUGUAAG